UACGUAGGUGGCAAGCGUUAUCCGGAUUUACUGGGUGUAAAGGGAGCGUAGACGGCUUUGCAAGCCAGAUGUGAAAGCCCGGGGCUCAACCCCGGGACUGCAUUUGGAACUGUAUGGCUGGAGUGUCGGAGAGGCAGGCGGAAUUCCUAGUGUAGCGGUGAAAUGCGUAGAUAUUAGGAGGAACACCAGUGGCGAAGGCGGCCUGCUGGACGAUGACUGACGUUGAGGCUCGAAAGCGUGGGGAGCAAACAGG
rnacentral:rRNA from 1 species